CAAGUCGAGGGGUAGAGGAAGCUUGCUUCCUUGAGACCGGCGCACGGGUGCGUAACGCGUAUGCAAUCUGCCCUGCACUAAGGGAUAGCCCAGAGAAAUUUGGAUUAAUACCUUAUGGUAUAAUGGUGUGGCCUCACAUUAUUAUUAAAGAUUUAUUGGUGCAGGAUGAGCAUGCGUCCCAUUAGCUAGUUGGUAUGGUAACGGCAUACCAAGGCGAUGAUGGGUAGGGGUCCUGAGAGGGAGAUCCCCCACACUGGUACUGAGACACGGACCAGACUCCUACGGGAGGCAGCAGUGAGGAAUAUUGGUCAAUGGGCGCAAGCCUGAACCAGCCAUGCCGCGUGCAGGAUGAAGGUCCUAUGGAUUGUAAACUGCUUUUGUACGGGAAGAAACCACCCUUCGUGAAGGGCCUUGACGGUACCGUAAGAAUAAGGAUCGGCUAACUCCGUGCCAGCAGCCGCGGUAAUACGGAGGAUCCGAGCGUUAUCCGGAAUCAUUGGGUUUAAAGGGUCCGUAGGCGGUUUUGUAAGUCAGUGGUGAAAUCCGGCAGCUUAACUGUCGCACUGCCAUUGAUACUGCAGGACUUGAAUAACUGUGAAGUAGCUAGAAUAUGUAGUGUAGCGGUGAAAUGCUUAGAUAUUACAUGGAAUACCGAUUGCGAAGGCAGGUUACUAACAGUUUAUUGACGCUGAUGGACGAAAGCGUGGGGAGCGAACAGGAUUAGAUACCCUGGUAGUCCACGCCGUAAACGAUGGAUACUAGCUGUUUGGUUGUAAGACUGAGUGGCUAAGCGAAAGUGGUAAGUAUCCCACCUGGGGAGUACGGGCGCAAGCCUGAAACUCAAGGGAAUUGACGG
rnacentral:rRNA from 1 species